rnacentral:rRNA from 1 species
UGGGGAAUUUUGGACAAUGGGCGAAAGCCUGAUCCAGCAAUGCCGCGUGUGUGAAGAAGGCCUUCGGGUUGUAAAGCACUUUUGUCCGGAAAGAAAUCCUUGGCUCUAAUACAGUCGGGGGAUGACGGUACCGGAAGAAUAAGCACCGGCUAACUACGUGCCAGCAGCCGCGGUAAUACGUAGGGUGCAAGCGUUAAUCGGAAUUACUGGGCGUAAAGCGUGCGCAGGCGGUUUGCUAAGACCGAUGUGAAAUCCCCGGGCUCAACCUGGGAACUGCAUUGGUGACUGGCAGGCUAGAGUAUGGCAGAGGGGGGUAGAGUUCCACGUGUAGCAGUGAAAUGCGUAGAGAUGUGGAGGAAUACCGAUGGCGAAGGCAGCCCCCUGGGCCAAUACUGACGCUCAUGCACGAAAGCGUGGGGAGCAAACAGGAUUAGAUACCCUGGUAGUCCACGCCCUAAACGAUGUCAACUAGGUUGUUGGGGAUUCAUUUCCUUAGUAACGUAGCUAACGCGUGAAGUUGACCGCCUGGGGAGUACGGUCGCAAGAUUAAAACUCAAAUGAAUUGACGGGGUCAUAGCUGUUUCCU